CUCAAAGAUGGUGUCUACUAAUAAAGUACUAACAGCUCCUCUUGAAUCCAACAGAAACUCACAACAGAUAAAAACCAAACAAAAAAUCUCCUAUAAGGUAUGCCAUUGAGGCAGAUGAAUUCAGACAUGCUCCAGGCUUGGGGAAAUUUGGAACUAGUAACUAUUAAAAUGACAAGCAACUUGCCAGACGGAGUCAAUGAAAUCAACCAUUUUCCUAAACUGAAAAUGUAGUGCACAGAUUAAAAUAAUGAGUCUCAGCUACUGCAUUGACUGUAAGAGAUCGGAGUUCACACUGAAAGGAGGGCCCCAUGCAUGUUGCAAAAAUUCCUUUUCAUCACACUGGGAGAAUAUGUACGUUGCAAAGAACUGAAAAUAGAGGGGGCUGACCUGGACUAUAUGGCUAAAAUUCCCAGGGUGAAUUCUGGGAUACAGAAAGUCCUAGAGUGAGGUUAACAGGCUGUAAAAAAAGAACAUUUCCCAGUCCUGCUGCUGUGGAACUGGACACAAGAAGAAACACAACUGGAUAUCCUGCUCCUUGAAGGUACGAAUGAUAGAUUGGGGGACAGCUUGGCUACUACCCACCCCUCAAAGACUCUGCAUGGGACAGAGGGUUAGUCAGAUGCUUCCUGAAGAUGCUGAGAGAGAGGCUGAUUGUCACUGGGUCCCCAAGAUGACAAGGCUUUCAGAAAAUCUUCCCAUUAAAAACAUAAAUGAAGCUUGUCCCACAUGGAUUUUUAAAUGGAAAGUUAAGAUUCAACUGAGAUGAUAAUCAAAUAUUGAUUCCUGAAAUGUAUAACCCUGCAUGGACAGGUGAGUUCUGCAUUCAUUCCUGUGUGUGAUAUACGGAACACAAUGAGCCAAGUCUGUGAGGGCUUCUCUUAAUGCUGAGGAUGAUCAUGGUUCAAUACUAAAAUUUCCAUUUCUUGCAAAUAAUUUCAUUCUGUAAUUAAUGUUCGAGGCUAUAUGUGAUAUGCUGUGUGCUCACAAAUAUGCCCCAGUUGCGUGCUGCAGCACAACAGAACUAUAAAAGAAUGAAAUUACAUACAUUCCUUUCUAUAACAUAAAAUCACAGAGCUCACAGUGAAUCACUUCAAAACAGAAUUAAAAUGCUACAGAGCAUACAGGAAGAGGUUUCAUUAAAAUACAAACAAACACAAAGCUUCUUGAACAAAUUGCGUUGUGAUGCAUUGACUCAAAUAUCAUUACAAUGUGUUCACCUACCAGUAAUUUUUAGAGAUCUAUUGUUUAUUUUUGAAGUGAGGAAUAAUAAUCUUUUCAUUUCUUCUUCUUUAAUAAACUAUUUUUCAAAUUGUAUCAAGGUCAACAUUUUCAAAUAUGGGUGCCUCAGGUUCAGCACUUAAAUCCAUAUUUAGGCACUCAAUAAGGUUUUUCUAAGUAUCCAUCAUUCAAAACUUCAGGUGCCUUAAUUGGAAAAUUGUGUAAAUAAAACACUUGAAUAUUUUUAUGAACCAACAGAUAGUUGACAAGAGAAGAACAUAAGGAGAUAUGAUGGGUGAGGGAUUAAGGAGAAGGGACAGAAGUGGGUCAUAAAUCAAAUGGCCCAAAUACAGGUCCAAGAAUGCAUGUUAAAACAUUAUGGAGGUCUUGUCAAAGACAGAGUAGAAGGAUUAAUAUAAGGAAAGCACAUGGGGUUAGAGUUAAAUAUUCUUCAUUCUAUUCUUGGCUCUGCUACUGACUUGACGUAUGGUGUUGGGCAAGUCACUUUACCAUAUGGUUGCCUGAGUUCAUUAAUUUAUAAAAUAGCAAUAAUUCUUAAAGGCAAGUCCUACUUUCCAUUGAAGUUUGUAAAGCACUUUGAGAUGCUUGGAUGAAAGAGACUAGAACAGUGGAGAGUAUUGUUAGUAUAAUGUGUCAAAGUAUAGAUGUAAUCAGGUGAGCUACCACUUUCAAA